AAAUUGAAGAGUUUGAUCAUGGCUCAGAUUGAACGCUGGCGGCAGGCCUAACACAUGCAAGUCGAACGGUAACAGGAAGCAGCUUGCUGCUUUGCUGACGAGUGGCGGACGGGUGAGUAAUGUCUGGGAAACUGCCUGAUGGAGGGGGAUAACUACUGGAAACGGUGGCUAAUACCGCAUAACGUCGCAAGACCAAAGAGGGGGACCUUCGGGCCUCUUGCCAUCAGAUGUGCCCAGAUGGGAUUAGCUUGUUGGUGAGGUAACGGCUCACCAAGGCGACGAUCCCUAGCUGGUCUGAGAGGAUGACCAGCCACACUGGAACUGAGACACGGUCCAGACUCCUACGGGAGGCAGCAGUGGGGAAUAUUGCACAAUGGGCGCAAGCCUGAUGCAGCCAUGCCGCGUGUAUGAAGAAGGCCUUCGGGUUGUAAAGUACUUUCAGCGGGGAGGAAGGUGUUGCGGUUAAUAACCGCAGCAAUUGACGUUACCCGCAGAAGAAGCACCGGCUAACUCCGUGC
rnacentral:rRNA from 1 species